AACAGAACUUGAUUAUCUUUCUUAUCCCCGAAGAUAUUAUAAUGAGCCCUUCAUUGGACAUUCUGUAUAAUUUUAAUGUUUAUACGUAUAUAUUGUGUAUACAGUCAAUGAUUAUAGUUAGGUAUAAAAUAUAACAACUAUGAAGUAAUUAUUUAUGUAUACAGGAUACGGAAUGACAGCCUUAUCAGUUUAUUAUGACAAGUUCCUCGCAUGGCUUUUAUAGUCAAAUUAGACACUCAGCACUUAACAGUGACCGCCCA